rnacentral:rRNA from 1 species
UACGUAGGGGGCGAGCGUUGCCCGGAUUCACUGGGCGUAAAGCGCGUGUAGGCGGUCUGUUAAGUCGGAUGUGAAAUCUCCGGGCUCAACUCGGAAACUGCAUCCGAUACUGGCAGACUUGAGGAUGGUAGAGGUCGGUGGAAUACCAGGUGUACCGGUGAAAUGGACAGAUAUCUGGUGGAACACCAGUGGCGAAGGCGGCCGACUGGGCCAAUCCUGACGCUGAGACGCGAAAGCCAGGGUAGCGAACCGG